UCCCAAGUGGUGUAUUGGUUUGUAUUCGUGGCUCUCACCCACGCGGCUCAGGUUCGGUUCCUGGAUUGGGAA
rnacentral:tRNA from 1 species